rnacentral:tRNA from 1 species
GGAGGGGUGGCAGAGCGGUUGAAUGCACUGGUCUUGAAAACCAGCAGGCCGAAAGGUCUCGUGGGUUCGAAUCCCACCCCCUCCGCCA